rnacentral:rRNA from 1 species
GAGGUACCAGUAUGGUAGGAAAAACCGCCAUGCAAUGGGAAGACGUGAUGUGGAGUGAAAUAUAGUAACGAAGCCCGUGAGCCAUGCGUCAAGAAAAGCCGCUAUUGUUUAUAUUGUACCCGUACCGUAAACCGACACAGGUGGAUGAGGAGAGAAUCCUAAGGCCGGCGGAAGAAGUAUUGCCAAGGAACUCGGCAAAAUGGCCCCGUAACUUAGGGAGAAGGGGUGCCUGCGAGAGCAGGCCGCAGAGAAUAGGCUCAAGCAACUGUUUAGCAAAAACACAGGUCUAUGCGAAACCGAAAGGUGAGGUAUAUGGGCUGACGCCUGCCCGGUGCUGGAAGGUUAAGAGGAGAGGUAGACGCAAGUCGAAGCUUUGAAUUUAAGCCCCAGUAAACGGCGGCCGUAACGAUAACGGUCCUAAGGUGGCGAAAUUCCUUGUCGGGUAAGUUCCGACCCGCACGAAAGGCGUAAUGAUUUGAGCGCUGUCUCGGCAAUACAUCCGGUGAAAUUGAAGUGCCAGUGAAGAUGCUGGCUACCCGCGCCAGGACGGAAAGACCCCAUGGAGCUUUACUCCAGUUUGGCACUGGGGUCCGGUGUUGCAUGUACAGGAUAGGUGGGAGGCUGAGAGAUAGUGACGUCAGUUGCUAUGGAGCCGCUGUUGGGAUACCACCCUUGUGAUAUUGGGCUUCUAACCAGCCGCCGUGAACCGGCGGUGGGACAAUGCCAGGCGGGGAGUUUGACUGGGGCGGUCGCCUCCGAAAGGGUAUCGGAGGCGCCCAAAGGUUCCCUCAGAAUGGACGGAAACCAUUCGAAGAGUGCAAAGGCAGAAGGGAGCUUGACUGCGACACCGACGGGUGGAGCAGGUACGAAAGUAGGGCUUAGUGAUCCGGUGGUAUUAAGUGGGAAUGCCAUCGCUCAACGGAUAAAAGCUACCCUGGGAUAACAGGCUUAUCACUCCCAAGAGUUCACAUCGACGGAGUGGUUUGGCACCUCGAUGUCGGCUCAUCGCAUCCUGGGGCUGUAGUAGGUCCCAAGGGUUGGGCUGUUCGCCCAUUAAAGCGGUACGCGAGCUGGGUUCAGAACGUCGUGAGACAGUUCGGUCCCUAUCCGGCGUGGGCGUAGGAUAUCUGAGAGGAGCUGUCCUUAGUACGAGAGGACCGGGAUGGACGGACCGCUGGUGGACCGGUUGGCUUGCCAAAGCCAUGGCCGGGUAGCCAAGUCCGGAAGGGAUAAACGCUGAAGGCAUCUAAGCGUGAAGCCCCCCUCAAGAUGAGAUAUCCCAUUCUUUAAGAAGUAAACCCCCUUGAAGACGACGAGGUAGAUAGGGCAGAGGUGGAAGUGUGGUAACACAUGGAGCUGACUGUUACUAAUCGGGUGAGGGCUUGACC